rnacentral:rRNA from 1 species
AUUGAACGCUGGCGGCAGGCCUAACACAUGCAAGUCGAGCGGAUGAAGGGAGCUUGCUCCUGGAUUCAGCGGCGGACGGGUGAGUAAUGCCUAGGAAUCUGCCUGGUAGUGGGGGAUAACGUCCGGAAACGGGCGCUAAUACCGCAUACGUCCUGAGGGAGAAGGUGGGGGAUCUUCGGACCUCACGCUAUCAGAUGAGCCUAGGUCGGAUUAGCUAGUUGGUGGGGUAAAGGCCUACCAAGGCGACGAUCCGUAACUGGUCCGAGAGGAUGAUCAGUCACACUGGAACUGAGACACGGUCCAGACUCCUACGGGAGGCAGCAGUGGGGAAUAUUGGACAAUGGGCGAAAGCCUGAUCCAGCCAUGCCGCGUGUGUGAAGAAGGUCUUCGGAUUGUAAAGCACUUUAAGUUGGGAGGAAGGGCAGUAAGUUAAUACCUUGCUGUUUUGACGUUACCAACAGAAUAAGCACCGGCUAACUUCGUG